UACGUAGGGUGCGAGCGUUGUCCGGAUUUAUUGGGCGUAAAGGGCGCGUAGGCGGCCUGGCAAGUGGAUGGUGAAAUCCCUCGGCUUAACCGAGGAACUGCCAUCCAGACUGCUUGGCUUGAGACCGGGAGAGGUGAGUGGAAUUCCCAGUGUAGCGGUGAAAUGCGUAGAUAUUGGGAGGAACACCAGUGGCGAAGGCGGCUCACUGGACCGGUACUGACGCUGAGGCGCGAAAGCGUGGGGAGCAAACGGG
rnacentral:rRNA from 1 species